AAUCCUUCUUCCCUUUGCUUAAUACAUUUGUAUUGUUUUGUAGGCCAUAAAUAAAGGCUGAAGACCAUGCUUAAUCACCAUAGGAGGCUCAGUAAGCUAGAGGAAGCAAAGGAAUCCUAAAAUGGAGAGGAAAGCAUCACUUUCGGAUUGGACUGCAUCACUUCCAGAUUAGAAAACCAAAGUCGGAUACAUUCCGGAUUCUCGCCAACACUCAGUCAAAACCACCAGUGGC
rnacentral:lncRNA from 1 species